rnacentral:rRNA from 1 species
GGAUUUACUGGGCGUAAAGGGUGCGUAGGCGGUCUUUCAAGUCAGGAGUGAAAGGCUACGGCUCAACCGUAGUAAGCUCUUGAAACUGGGAGACUUGAGUGCAGGAGAGGAGAGUGGAAUUCCUAGUGUAGCGGGGAAAUGCGUAGAUAUUAGGAGGAACACCAGUUGCGAAGGCGGCUCUCUGGACUGUAACUGACGCUGAGG